AGCGUACACGGUGGAUGCCCUGGCAGUCAGAGGCGAUGAAGGACGUGCUAAUCUGCGAAAAGCGUCGGUAAGGUGAUAUGAACCGUUAUAACCGGCGAUGUCCGAAUGGGGAAACCCAGUGCAAUUCGUUGCACUAUCGUUAACUGAAUACAUAGGUUAACGAGGCGAACCGGGGGAACUGAAACAUCUAAGUACCCCGAGGAAAAGAAAUCAACCGAGAUUCCCCCAGUAGCGGCGAGCGAACGGGGAGCAGCCCAGAGUCUGAAUCAGCUUGUGUGUUAGUGGAACGGUCUGGAAAGUCCGACGGUACAGGGUGAUAGUCCCGUACACCAAAAUGCACAGGCUGUGAACUCGAAGAGUAGGGCGGGACACGUGGUAUCCUGUCUGAAUAUGGGGGGACCAUCCUCCAAGGCUAAAUACUCCUGACUGACCGAUAGUGAACCAGUACCGUGAGGGAAAGGCGAAAAGAACCCCGGCGAGGGGAGUGAAAAAGAACCUGAAACCGUGUACGUACAAGCAGUGGGAGCACCUUCGGGUGUGACUGCGUACCUUUUGUAUAAUGGGUCAGCGACUUAUAUUCUGUAGCAAGGUUAACCGUAUAGGGGAGCCGCAGGGAAACCGAGUCUUAACUGGGCGUUAAGUUGCAGGGUAUAGACCCGAAACCCGGUGAUCUAGCCAUGGGCAGGUUGAAGGUUGGGUAACACUAACUGGAGGACCGAACCGACUAAUGUUGAAAAAUUAGCGGAUGACUUGUGGCUGGGGGUGAAAGGCCAAUCAAACCGGGAGAUAGCUGGUUCUCCCCGAAAGCUAUUUAGGUAGCGCCUCGUGAAUUCAUCUUCGGGGGUAGAGCACUGUUUCGGCUAGGGGGUCAUCCCGACUUACCAACCCGAUGCAAACUACGAAUACCGAAGAAUGUUAUCACGGGAGACACACGGCGGGUGCUAACGUCCGUCGUGAAGAGGGAAACAACCCAGACCGCCAGCUAAGGUCCCAAAGUCAUGGUUAAGUGGGAAACGAUGUGGGAAGGCACAGACAGCCAGGAUGUUGGCUUAGAAGCAGCCAUCAUUUAAAGAAAGCGUAAUAGCUCACUGGUCGAGUCGGCCUGCGCGGAAGAUGUAACGGGGCUAAACCAUGCACCGAAGCUGCGGCAGCGACACUAUGUGUUGUUGGGUAGGGGAGCGUUCUGUAAGCCUGCGAAGGUGACCUGUGAGGGUUGCUGGAGGUAUCAGAAGUGCGAAUGCUGACAUAAGUAACGAUAAAGCGGGUGAAAAGCCCGCUCGCCGGAAGACCAAGGGUUCCUGUCCAACGUUAAUCGGGGCAGGGUGAGUCGACCCCUAAGGCGAGGCCGAAAGGCGUAGUCGAUGGGAAACAGGUUAAUAUUCCUGUACUUGGUGUUACUGCGAAGGGGGGACGGAGAAGGCUAUGUUAGCCGGGCGACGGUUGUCCCGGUUUAAGCAUGUAGGCUGGUUGUCCAGGCAAAUCCGGAUAAUCAAGGCUGAGGUGUGAUGACGAGGCACUACGGUGCUGAAGUAACAAAUGCCCUGCUUCCAGGAAAAGCCUCUAAGCAUCAGGUAACAUCAAAUCGUACCCCAAACCGACACAGGUGGUCAGGUAGAGAAUACCAAGGCGCUUGAGAGAACUCGGGUGAAGGAACUAGGCAAAAUGGUGCCGUAACUUCGGGAGAAGGCACGCUGGUGUGUAGGUGAAGUCCCUGCGGAUGGAGCUGAGACCAGUCGAAGAUACCAGCUGGCUGCAACUGUUUAUUAAAAACACAGCACUGUGCAAACACGAAAGUGGACGUAUACGGUGUGACGCCUGCCCGGUGCCGGAAGGUUAAUUGAUGGGGUUAUCCGUAAGGAGAAGCUCUUGAUCGAAGCCCCGGUAAACGGCGGCCGUAACUAUAACGGUCCUAAGGUAGCGAAAUUCCUUGUCGGGUAAGUUCCGACCUGCACGAAUGGCGUAAUGAUGGCCAGGCUGUCUCCACCCGAGACUCAGUGAAAUUGAACUCGCUGUGAAGAUGCAGUGUACCCGCGGCAAGACGGAAAGACCCCGUGAACCUUUACUAUAGCUUGACACUGAACAUUGAGCCUUGAUGUGUAGGAUAGGUGGGAGGCUUUGAAGCGUGGACGCCAGUCUGCGUGGAGCCAACCUUGAAAUACCACCCUUUAAUGUUUGAUGUUCUAACGUUGGCCCCUGAUCGGGGUUGCGGACAGUGUCUGGUGGGUAGUUUGACUGGGGCGGUCUCCUCCCAAAGCGUAACGGAGGAGCACGAAGGUUAGCUAAUCCUGGUCGGACAUCAGGAGGUUAGUGCAAUGGCAUAAGCUAGCUUGACUGCGAGCGUGACGGCGCGAGCAGGUGCGAAAGCAGGUCAUAGUGAUCCGGUGGUUCUGAAUGGAAGGGCCAUCGCUCAACGGAUAAAAGGUACUCCGGGGAUAACAGGCUGAUACCGCCCAAGAGUUCAUAUCGACGGCGGUGUUUGGCACCUCGAUGUCGGCUCAUCACAUCCUGGGGCUGAAGUAGGUCCCAAGGGUAUGGCUGUUCGCCAUUUAAAGUGGUACGCGAGCUGGGUUUAGAACGUCGUGAGACAGUUCGGUCCCUAUCUGCCGUGGGCGCUGGAGAAUUGAGGGGGGCUGCUCCUAGUACGAGAGGACCGGAGUGGACGCAUCACUGGUGUUCGGGUUGUCAUGCCAAUGGCACUGCCCGGUAGCUAAAUGCGGAAGAGAUAAGUGCUGAAAGCAUCUAAGCACGAAACUUGCCCCGAGAUGAGUUCU
rnacentral:rRNA from 1 species